UAAUAGAUACCCGGGUAGUCCACGCCGUAAACGAUGAGUGCUAAGUGUUAGGGGGUUUCCGCCCCUUAGGUGCUGCAGCUAACGCAUUAAGCACUCCGCCUGGGGAGUACGGUCACAAGACUGAAGCUCAAAGGAAUUGACGGGGGGCCCGCACAAGCGGUGGAGCAUGUGGUUUAAUUCGAAGCAACGCGAAGAACCUUACCAGGUCUUGACAUCCCAUUGACCACUAUGGAGACAUAGUUUUCCCUUCGGGGACAACGGUGACAGGUGGUGCAUGGUUGUCGUCAGCUCGUGUCGUGAGAUGUUGGGUUAAGUCCCGCAACGAGCGCAACCCUUGUUCUUAGUUGCCAUCAUUUAGUUGGGCACUCUAAGGAGACUGCCGGUGACAAACCGGAGGAAGGUGGGGAUGACGUCAAAUCAUCAUGCCCCUUAUGACCUGGGCUACACACGUGCUACAAUGGACGGUACAAACGGUUGCCAACCCGCGAGGGGGAGCUAAUCCGAUAAAACCGUUCUCAGUUCGGAUUGUAGGCUGCAACUCGCCUACAUGGAACG
rnacentral:rRNA from 1 species